CAGAGGGUAGUUUAAUUAAAGAUACUGGCUUUGGGAGCCAGUGAUGGGAGUUAAAUUCUCCCCUUUCUGA
rnacentral:tRNA from 1 species